GACUCGGACUAACGCUGCCAUGACUCUCAAACCUUGUCAGGACCGGAAGGUAGCAGCAAUACGAGAUGCUCAUGGUAGGCGUCAGUUCCGGGUCUUU
rnacentral:SRP_RNA from 2 species